UGUCUUGUAGUUUAAUAAAAACUUUAAAUUGCAAAUUUAAUAAUGAUUAUGUGUAAUAUUCUAAGACUU
rnacentral:tRNA from 1 species